AUUCAGUUACCUACUGUCAACCAAGGUCAGAAAAUAGCUGGAGAAAUCUGGAGAAGUCUGGCUGGGAAGGGAAGAAGAAGCAGGAAAACAGGGCUAAGCCAAGACGUGCAGCUGGAGCAGAAGGAGUCAGAACGGGCUGGCAGAGAGCGCUGAGCUCCCAGCAGGGGAAGAAACCAAAGAACAUGGAGGCUCCUGCGACGAGAGGCCUGUAGGUUUUGGGCGCCCACCCUGCUACCGUAGAAUGGUUCUUGGCAAUAGAUUUCUCAAUUUCCUUCUCCAGUUUAAUUUUUUAAUAACUGAGUACAGUUAAAAAUAGAGUAAGAUCACAGUCUCCCAAGCACAGUUCCUUUUUUAUUUGUGGUCCCCAAGAGGAGUCAAAAGUAAGAGCAGGGACUGGGGGGUACCCUGUGUGUCCUGGCAUCAUUUCACGGAAGGUAAGGCCAUGUCACCACAUCCCCAGUACAGGGCUGGCCCGGCAUGGUAUCCGCAGGAAACAGUGAUCGAGCCCUCCUUCCUCCUACGUCCCCACCGCAUCCUGGGCAACAUUUUCUCUCUUAACUAUAACCGCUGAGUAUUUGUAUUUUUCAGGGAACCUCAGGAGACAUAAAGCCUUUAAGGUUUAAAGGACUGAAUCUCUUCCGGUGCAAUUUCUGGAAUUAUAAGUAUAUUUUUUUCCUUUCUUCAUUCAUUCAUUCAAUACGUAUGUUUUGAAUUCCAGGCAUAGCGCUAGCCAUGGAGACCAUAGUGGUGGGCAACGCAGACACGACCCUGUCGUCACAAAACUUAAAGUUUAAAGAAGACAGACUAAUAAAAUAAUCACAGAAACGAAUAUCUGCUGCGAAGCAGUAGGAAGUGCCCUGCGGUCUGUUUCCCCUAGCAGAGACUGGCCUUGUGGCGGAAGACCCCCGCGCGUAGGGAGGGCCGGUGCGGCGACUCCGGGCGGGGCGCGCUGUUGGUGUCCAGGGCGCGGAGCCUGCGCCAGCUUCACAAAAGCGGUGUGGACGCCUGAGCCAGUCCGCUCUUGCUGGACGGCUCCCCAUAGUUUAGCCCAAAAAUCCCCCUCUGGGUGGCUCUGGCAGGAGUGAUUUAGGGCCACAAUUAGGUUGGACGAGGAGUGGGGACUUGCCCCGAGCUGCCUUUGCAGACCCGGCGGCGGCGUUCUCCCCAAGGCUGCCCGCUUGGCUGCGCGGCUGAGGCGAGUUGAGGACCCAGCCCGUCCCCAACUCUCCUCACCCCUCCGCCCCCCGCUCGCCUCACCCCUCCGGCCCCCGCCCCCCCCCCUCCGUCCCCCACUCUCCUCACCCCUCCGCCCCGCCCGCUCCUCUCACCCCUCCGGCCCCCACCCUCCUCACCCCUCCGCCCCGCCCGCUCCUCUCACCCUUCCUCCCCCCGCCCCCGCUCUCCUCACCCCUCCGGCUCCCGCCUGCUCCACCCCUCUGCGCCCCCCCACGACCCCUCCGGCCCCUGCUCCCCACACCCCUCCUCCACCCUCACCCCUCCGCCUCGCCCCGGGGUGGGGACCUGCCCGGGCGGCUUCCCCAUAGGCCAGUGCUGGGCCCGCGGUGCUUCUAGCGGCCCAGGGAAACGUUUUAAUUUUCAUUUAUUUUAAAAUCAAAAUAAAUAAUUGAAUGUGAUAACAUUGAAUCUAUAAUAAUAAAAACUCCAGUCUGGGUCAUGUUCGCCUUUAGACACUAAGUCAUGAAACCACUUACAUCUUCAGGAGGAAGGGCAC
rnacentral:lncRNA from 1 species